rnacentral:rRNA from 1 species
UACGUAGGGGGCGAGCGUUGUCCGGAUUUAUGGGGCGUAAAGAGCUCGUAGGCGGUUUGGUAAGUUGGAUGUGAAAUCUCCAGGCUCAACUUGGAGGGGUCAUUCGAUACUGCCAUGACUAGAGUUCGGUAGGGGAGUGUGGAAUUCCUGGUGGAGCGGUGAAAUGCGCAGAUAUCGGGAGGAACACCAAUUGCGAAGGCAGCUCGCUGGGACGUCACUGACGCUGAGACGCGAAAGCGUGGGGAGCAAACAGG